AACCGAAAACCACAAAAACCCCCAAAAAGGGUUAAAGUACAAAAGAAAAUACGGAAGAUGGAAAAACGAGGUAUAACCCGAAAAAUACCCCAAAAAAGGGGGAACCGAGAAAGUUUUCCAAAAAGGGCAAAAGGGCCAAAAAGGGGAGAAAACAAAAAGGGGACUCUGAAAUCUGGAGAAAGCCUGAUGGAUCACCGCGCCUGGCGAUCACAUUCCAGGCCUUCGGCUGCGUCAGCAGAAGAGGGGAGCUCAAAAGGAGAAGUGGUGGCGGCCGCGAGCCCAGGCCCGAGCAGCCAACGCCCUGGUUCCUCUGGUGGACAGGAAAUCUUGUUCCUCUUUUGCCGUUGUCACAGGGAGAGAUCAGAAAUGGAGAAAAGUCUCUUGUUCGUCGAAUCAGGUUCUACUUGGAGAGCUGGAAAUGUUCUUUCAGUCCAAGCAGAUUCGAGGAUGACAGCCCGCCACUCCAAAUUCCCUUCCGCCCACUGAGAGUGGGUCAAGAUCAAGGUCAUCAAGAACAAGUGGACGGAGCACAGGUGGACCGGUCACUUAAAGGUCGUGAAACGGACGUCUCACGCCCUUCGACUGGCUGAUCUCCAGCAGAUGCCACUGCCGACAUCGCCACAUCACCUGCCCCACUCGACCCCCGGCAGAACUUCCACACAGUCUCACGGUCCAGAAGACGACGCCGAGAGAGAUCUCCCUCCGUUGAGCUGCCGUCUACCGUCGUGUAGAUCUACCAGACAUGCUCAACUGCUGUAUCAUAUAUCCAAAGCUAUCAUAUAUCCUUACUUGAGACCCACCUAUGUACUCGAUGUUAUACAACUUCUCUUAAUUGUUUUCAGCAUCACUAUUGUUGUCGUUACAAUAAGUGAAACCCUAACCUAAAUUACCCUGAUAGUGAUAGACGAAAGGCAGGAUGUUACAUCCAGCAGUAUUCCCUGACAGACUGGUACUUGGGCUUGUUCUAAUGUCCUUGUGCCUCAGUCCUUCCUUCCCGACAACAGUGACUGACACGUGUCUUAGAACUUAUGGCGGACUUGAAAUAAGACUGGAUCAUGGGGGACAACAAGACUUCCUUUUUUGACCUGUGCAGUGUGAUUGAUUACCAUGGUAGUAACCUCUUUCUUUGUUACGACGCAACCCUGAGCUAUUGGUGUCGGUAGCAGAAUACAUAAUCUAGGAGGGGGGUGUCAAACUCCUUUUAGCUCAGAGGCCGCAUGGAGGAAAAUCCAUUCCCAAGUGGGCUGGAAUGGUAAAAUCAUGGCAUGAUAACUUCAAAAUAAAGACAACUACAGGUUGUUUACUUUGACCAAAAAUAGAACAAGCACGUUGUGAAAAGGGACAAAUCACAAAUAAUCCUCUGGAAAAAAACACUUAAAGUUUGUUGAAAAUUCUGAGGAAAUUGGUGCAGUUUCAAAAACACAAUCAGUUUGGACGUGGUCUCAGUUUAUCUACAAAGCCAGGAUUAAACUUUAAAUCGCAGUCUUUCUGGGAUUGAACAAAAAACACAACAUGUAAACUUUUUGAGGUAUCAAACACCUCCUUUGUCAUGUCCACGUAUCAAUCCAGAGUUAACUCAACAAACCGUAAGAAUCAGAGGUAAAACUAUUCAAAAGGGUUAAGUUUUCUCACUAUAUUUUCAUACCUUAGUUGGCGCCUGUCGCUGCGGUAAUCCUAGAACCCAUUGGUAGAACACCUUAUCUCACCGGUUUUGUCCAUGUGGCGCCUCUAAUGGCUCUGAUAUUCCAAAGCAUUUUGGGUGAAUAGAAAAGAGUUUUAUCCAUCUAUUAUUAUUAUUAAUGUUAUUAAAAUGGAAAAAGGACGACAACGAGGCAUCUUGCAAUGGUAAAAGUUGAUUUUCAAGAAAAAAAAUUAUUUUCAAGGUAAAUGUUGAUUAUCCGAGUACACGAGAUACUACCGUCUAUUCUUAAAACCCACACAAAGACAUUAUUGGGGAGUAAGGGUGCCAAAUAACAUUGUGUUUGAAGCGGAAGACACAAACCUCUUGCUGGUCCUAACAGAAUUGCUAUUGUGACAUCCAGUGGACACAUUCAGAACAGCAGUUUCUUUCAUAAAAAAAAUAUGCAACUCAUUUUAAUACUUGGCAAACUCCUCAGGCGGGCCAGAUAAAACCUGUUGGCGGGCCUGAUCCGGCCCAUGGGCCGUAUGUUUGACACCCCUGGUCUAUGGGGUGGUGCCCCUCGUGGAAGCAGGUAAUCCCACUAGCCCCUAUUGUUACAUCAAAACUAUUCGGGAAGGGAUGACCUUCCAGAGGAAUUUUGAUAGUUCCCAGAACCCCCUCGCCCUUACAAUUGCCAAUGUGGGUGUCAUGCCCAAUUGGCCCAGCCCCUUUUAUUUUGUUUUGGGGUUUGACCAGACUGGAACAGACUCUGCUGAAUUUCCCCCAGGGAUCAAAAAAGUACUUUCUAUUCUAUUUUAAAGGGAUUAUUAAAAUUAAUGUCCUUGAGAGGGCGUUAACUACCUUUGCCCACUCUGUAGCACUAAAGUGCCACUCCACCUUGGUGACGUUUCAAAGGCUCUCACACAUCUGUGUAUACUAAUGACAUCACCACUGAAGACCUGGUAGCUUUGACCCUCGGAGCGGGUGCAGGCAACCUGUGGCUCAGGUGUAUGACUAGCAUGGCCAAGAGCCAAAACAUGGGUGAUUGUGUUGCUUGUUCCGCUGGAAGUCAUUUCCCCACACUUACCCCGCCCCUUUUAAGCUGACUGACACAGAUGCCCUAAACUGCCUUAUCUCUUUGUUUUCUGAAACCACACCGCCAGGGUGCGAUUUGUUGGCUAGUGUGUACCCUCCUGUUGACAAUUCCAUCCGACGUCUUCCCCUUUGUGGGGAAAGCUGAAUUACACAUGUUUUCAAUUCACAGGACCCUCUUUGUCCCUCAACAAAUUGGGUGACAUUGACCCUUCCUGGUGCACCACACAUAUAGAUGGCUCCAAAAUAGGCCCUUGGGCACGGGCUGACUUAUUCUGGUAUUGUGGGGAGCACAGAUUGUACAUUAGAAUCCCGACGUCAGCCGUUGGGCUUUGUGCUAUGGUUAGACUGGUGACCCCACUCACCCUAGUGGGUACCAAAUUAACACCCCUUUGAACUCCUGUUUCAGCGGCCUCUUUGACUUUCCGCCGACGCUGCCAUAUUCUAUCUAGGAGUGCAAUGGGCUCCUUUGAUUUGAUGAGAAACCCUGAUGGAGUUUACUUUGAUGCAAUAGGGCAACCAUGGUGGUCCCCCCACAACAUAAAUUGUGGCGUGAAUCCUGCGCAGGUUUCGAGAACCUUCCUAUUAUUGGCGCUAUUAACGCAUUAACUAGGUUUUUUAUAAUCUGUUGAGACUGACCAACCUGACUCGUGAAGCUGUUGAGGGACUUGCUGAACAACUUGCCCUGACCUCCCUCAUGGCCAUCAAGAGCCGCAUAGCCCUUGACCGCAUCCUAGCCAAGGAAGAAGGUGUGUUUGCAAUGUUUGGUGACCAAUGCUGUACCUUCAUUCCUAACAACACCGCCCCUGAUGGCUCGGUCCAGAGGGCCUCAAAGCCCUGGUUUAGGAACUUACUGAAGUUUCCGAUGUCUGAACACUUCAAAGAUUGGCUCCAAGGCACCUUUGGCAGGUGGACUGACCUAAUUAAGUCUGUCCUGAUCUCCAUUGGAGUUUUCUUGGCCAUCAUAGCCUCAUGCGGUUUCUUUAUCGCCCCUUGUGCUGAGUCUCUAUGCACCCGCAUCAUUGUUAGAGCCAUAGGUCAACCCCACCCCGUUUCUGGGUUUACUAUGUCUCUGAAGGGGCUCAAGCAAAGUGGCGACUUUCGCGAAUUGCAAGUUUCCCUCGCUGACAAUGACGACUUUGACGUGGACACUCUCCCUCUAUCUCCCAUGUAACUAUGCUUUUAUUUUAGUGCGAGCUUGCUAAAACUUUAAUGUGGGGCAGGUGCUUUAGAAGUUUUGUAAUUGUGUUAGAGAUCUUUUGUAGAAGGUCUGAAGGGGGAUUGACGGAGAUAGAUAGCUACAUAUAUCCAUAUUCAAGAGUUAUUUCUUUUCUUCCAGUCAUAUUUGAAAACAGCUAAGAGGUGUGCAUGUGUUAACCUUGAGCUUGGAAUGUAACGAGUAGCCAUAACACCCUUGUUAUCUUUUCUUGUCCCAGGCUUAGAAGGAGAAUAGAUAUGUGGAUUCGCUCUGAAGGGGAAGGGGAGGGGGGCUAGCGGCGUAGUGAAAAAGGCAAGACUUCCGUAGUAUUUUCAGAUCAACUUGGGCGAUGCGAUUUGAAUGUGUUGUUCAUAGAUUAAUCUCUCCAAAGCUUUGAAAUAAAAUAUCAAAAUACC